rnacentral:rRNA from 1 species
CGGAUCGUAAAGCUCUGUUGUUAGGGAAGAACAAGUGCGAGAGUAACUGCUCGCACCAUGACGGUACCUAACCAGAAAGCCACGGCUAACUACGUGCCAGCAGCCGCGGUAAUACGUAGGUGGCAAGCGUUGUCCGGAAUUAUUGGGCGUAAAGGGCUCGCAGGCGGUUUCUUAAGUCUGAUGUGAAAGCCCCCGGCUCAACCGGGGAGGGUCAUUGGAAACUGGGAAAC